CGGGGGGAGGGGUCAUUCUUCACAUUCUUCACCUCGCCCCUCCCCCAGCUUCAAUCAAACUUGGGCGGGGGAAGUCCCGCCCCCGAGCGGAGCCCAUUGGCCGGCGCCGCCUCCCGCUGUGGCGUGGCUGGCUGCGGGCGCCACCAGCUCCUCUUGACGUCACUUCCGCUAUCAGGGAACCAGGAUUACCAGGAGAAAGCCUUCCUGUGGUGCUCAGCUGUGGUCCCUUUUCAGCAUUCACCCUGGACGUUCUCUUCACUGUGGGAUGAGGUAGUAGGUUGUAUAGUUUUAGGGUCACACCCACCACUGGGAGAUAACUAUACAAUCUACUGUCUUUCCUAACGUGAUAGAAAAAUCUGCAUCCCAGCAGCCUCAUAGAAAGUCGAUAACUAAUUGUACAAUAUUUAAGAUUAACUUGUGUAAACAUGCUGUAUUGCAGCAUUUCUUUAUGGUAUGCAAGUUGCUUAUUCUUUUAGAGAUUAAAAACUUUAGCAAGUAGACUGGAUGGGGGUGGGGUUACUUUUUACUUCUCAUUUCUGUAUAUCAGAAUAAGUGUAUAUUUUAUUACUGAUUGAUGCUGAUAAUUUUGUGUUGCAUUUUCUUUUGAAAGAGAUGUGCUCUCCGUUACAGAAGAAAAGAUUGCUCUGUCAGAGUGAGGUAGUAGAUUGUAUAGUUGUGGGGUAGUGAUUUUACCCUGUUCAGGAGAUAACUAUACAAUCUAUUGCCUUCCCUGAGGAGUGGACUUGCUGCAUGUUGUUGUCAUUUAGAUGGUACUAAAACGCAGAAGAAUGAGUUUUGACAUCGUUUUGUAUUUACAGUUUAUGUCAAUUGCGUAUUUUCUUUGUUCAACUAUAGUGUACCUGUAAUAGACGCAGUGAUCUAAAUUUUUAAUUUUCACAUAUGGUGUAUGUCAUAAAUCUGAAAUGAAGCAAAACUCUCAGAGUGAAGAAGGUAAUCUUCAGGAAAUCUUAAUAGGGACCAGUCCCCUUUGGAAUUGAAUAGGUUCACUGCCGUGCAUGCUGCUGCGCAUGUCCAGGGCGAGACCUGGGUGGUAAAGGUAAACACCAGCUGGAAAGGCCCUGAGCUCAAACGGAGUCAGCUUGAUUGGGGUUCAUUCUCCAGUCUGGGUUUGGGGGUGGCCUUGGGCAGUGUUGUGACCACUCCUUCAUUGGUGUGUUGUUUUGGAUGGCUUCACACUCCAGCCUGGAAAAGGACAGGUGGGCUUUGGGUUCUACCCUUGCUCCCUAGGAAGUCACGAAGACUUUAGCUUUGCCCCCAAAACCUAAGUGGUCCUUGAUUCACAAAGGGUCAUCCUCUGAAGCUGUCAGAUGGGGAAAUCCAUAGUCUGUUGUUUUAAAGAAAAUAUGAGGGGCCGGCCCGGUGGCGCAAGUGGUUAAGUGCACGCACUCCGCUGUGGCGGCCCAGGGUUCACUGGUUCAGAUCCCAGGCGCGCACUGACACACUGCUUGUUAAGCCAUGCUGUGGCGGUGUCCCGUAUAAAGUGGAGGAAGAUGGGCACGGAUGUUAGCCCAGGGCCAGUCUUCCUCAGCAACAAAAGAGGAGGAUUGGCAGAUAUUAGCACAGGGCUGAUGUUCCUCACAAAAAAAAAAAAAAAAAAUGUGAGGAUAAUGCUAGAGAGGGCUACUUGAGUUAUAACACCUGUGAAGGCCCAUGUCUCAUCUUUCUUCCAGUGGCCAAACCAUAUGCUGCCUUGGGUCUUAUAAUCAAGCAAGACUAAAAGCUUGCUGUUUUAAGUGCUUGCCGUUUAUUUUAUUUUGGGAGAAGAAAAAAAGGCAAGCUGUGGAGGUGAGGGAGAGGUCACAUCUUCCCAAAUAUUUCCUUCUAUUGUGAAUCUUAAUAUCUACUAUAAUCACAGUGUAGUGCCAUUUGCAGCAGGGAACUUUGCAUGAGAGAAACAAGUUUUCUCUUGGAUGGGCCCAACCAAGGUGAUUUAUCCUGGGCCGAAUUUAUGCUUUAUUUCAUCCCUGGCAUAUAGAUGGACAUCUGCAUGAUCUACAGUUGGUCUGUCUUAUGAACUGGACAGGUAAAUAUUGAAGGGAAAUAGUCGUUUUUACAUUUAUUGCCUUUUGAUGUGCCAAAUGAAAAUGGAAUGUUUGAGAAAUUCUCUCUGGCUUAGUCUUUGUUAAACUGACAAGUUGGAUGACUCUCCUACUCAUUGUGUGGCAAGUACAGUCGUGGAGUUUUGUGGUUUCCUGACGCCUGAGCCUCCAGUGUGGAUGUCCUCACCACUCUGCGCUUGGAAACUUAUCCUAAUCUAACUAAUAACUAAGGUCUGGAGAAAAAUGAAUUUAUAUCUUUUAUUAAUUACACAAGGACUCAUUUCAUAUCAUUAUUAGCCAAGCCUAGUAAUGGAAUCGAAUUGUGGAGAACGUCUACAUUUUGUAAAAACACUUAAAAGUACCUUUAUGGAGAGUGACAGUAUCUAAAACCUUGUUUUUGAUGGGGACAAAAAUUGUGAUCAGAAUUUGCUUCCAUUUACUGUAAUUCAAGGGUCAAAAACUCAAAUUCCUGGGUCCAGGAGGGGCUGGCUAUAACUAGGAAACAUGGCAUGUCCAGGGACAGGCAGUAAGUUAAUUUGCACCAGUUGAUGGUGGCAAGCAGGAUAUUUAUAUAUAGCAUCACCUAAUUUUCCAGUUCAUCACGAGGUGAAGAUUUUAUGAAAUCUGGCAUUUAAAUUUUGGUGCUAAAUUAAAUGUUUUAAAAAGUCUGUGGCUCCAACAAUGUAUGGUAGGCUGGGUAUUAGAUUUCUGUUUUGCAUCCUCUGAUGUAAUUGAAUUACUUAUGGUUCCUUUGUAACGAGAGGUUUGAUUUUAAGCAAAUACAUUUGUGGUUUUUACCAAGAUCAUACGGCCAGUAACUUUUUAAAACCAUCAGAAUGAAAGAAUUCUAAUUGGUUUGAAUUUGAAAUAAAACCCAAAGAAUAGGGCCUAAUUUAACAGGUUAAUUUGAAGUGCAUCUGCCAAGUAGAAGACCGGCAAGAAAACAGUGGGUUCCUAGGAAGAGGUAGUAGGUUGCAUAGUUUUAGGGCAGGGAUUUUGCCCACAAGGAGAUAACUAUACGACCUGCUGCCUUUCUUAGGGCCUAAGUAUUCCACAGUCACCUGUUAUCUUGCUGCCUUGCUUUGGUGUAAGCAGAGUUCUUCCUGCAGGUUUUCUCAUAAAUGAAAACAUUGCAGGAAUACCAGAGAAAGCAAUGCUUGCAUUCGUGGUUUAUAAACAGCAGCAUGGCACCAACGUUGAUUACUAAGAGUCAUCUACUGAGAAGUUAAGGCUUCUGAAGUUUACCUCGUUGCUUGUGUGUCUCACUGUAGUGUUGCCAGAAAGUUUUGGAAAGCAUAGGCUUUUUGCUUUGGUCAAGUCCCCUUUUCUGAUCUAGAGACUGCCAGCUGUUUCCCCUCAGUAACCUCUGUUACACCUGAAAGAAGGCAUUUAACAAAACUGUUGAAAUAUUUUGCUGUACAAAAAUAUUUUCCUACAGUGUAUUUGUAAAUAUUUAUCUUGCUAAGUUUCUGGGUUUCUUUGUCUUCUGGAUUUAAAUUCGGGGCAUUUCUGGUAGUAUUGCAUAUUCUGGGAAUCCAUCAUUGCAUUGAGCGCCCGUUAUGGUACGUAACCCUGUGGUUUAAUCUGUUUAAUGUGUACAAGGACUGGAAGGUCAGCAAAAUGAAAAUGGUUGUAAGAUAGAGUUUCUAUAAUUUGUUAACCAUCUUUGCAAUAAAAAUACUUUUACUUUAAAA